rfam:Izhakiella sp. D4N98 plasmid unnamed NODE_25_length_45894_cov_192.909_ID_4826, whole genome shotgun sequence.
AGCGUAUUUUGCCCGGGCGGAGCCCGACCGCUGCUGGAAAAUCUGAGCGGUGAACACGGAGUCGGGCCAGUCUGUCAUGAGCUGGAUAUUGCUCCG